AGCUGCUCUCUGGCGGUAUUUGGCAAUGGUAGAACUCACACUGGUGAGCUAGAAGGAUCCGGUGGUUCUAGACUUGCCAACUACCGCUCUGGGUCUAA
rnacentral:pre_miRNA from 10 species